rnacentral:lncRNA from 1 species
AAAAUAUUUAUUUAUUUUUUUUAGUUUUCCGCGAACACAACAUCUUUGUAUGUGGUGCUGAGAAUCGAACCCGGGCCGCACGCAUGCCAGGCAAGCGCGCUACCGAUUGAGCCACAUCCCCAGCCCAAAUCUGUAUUUCUUUGAAUAUUAGUGAGAUUCGCUAUUUCACUUGAUAUCUGGGUCUUUGUUAUUAACCAUUCAUAUGUUUAAUUAUUAGCUUUUCUCUCUAUUGUUCUGAAGAUCUCUAUAAGAGCCCUUAUGAAUUAUAUACCUAAAAGCCUGGUUGUUAUUGGAAAAUAUUUUUUUAUAUUUAAUGUAGUGAGGUCCAUUAAUCUUAUGGUUGGUCUUUGAAAAAAGCUUUCCUAAGAUUAGUUAAAUAUUUUUUAAAAUAUUAUUUUUUAGUUGUAGUUUGACACGAUACCUUUAUUUUAUUUAUUUAUUUUUAUGUGGUGAUGAGGAUGGAACCCAGCCUUGCAGGUGCUAGGCCAGCGCUCUACAGCUGAGCCACAAUCCCAGACCGAGAUUAUUUAAAUAUUCACAGAGGUUUUAUUUUAGUUCUUCUCUGGCUUUCUACUUCUACUUUAAAAAAAAAUUUUUUUUUUUGGUUCUUUUUAGUUGGACACAGUACUUUUAUUUUGUUUAUUUUUAUGUGGUGUUAAGGAUCGAACCCAGGGUCUCGAAUGUACUAGGCAAUCGCUUUACCGCUUAGCCGCAACCCCAGUCCCUCUAUUUCUACUUUUAAUUCUCAACCAUUUAGAAUUAGUUAGAUGUUGCAAGGUAAGGAUUCAGUUUUAUACCUUUUUUUUUUUUUGAGUUGUUG